rnacentral:lncRNA from 10 species
CGAAGAGCUUCAGGCCUUUCUCCACACGCUCCUGCCGGUAGCCCGGGACCUGCAGAGAGACCUAGGAGUCGUGAUGCCAUUGGCAGCCCUAGGGGUGCUGUUGAUACACCAGUGGCCUCGGAGUCAGGACAUCUGGGUUCCACGUGGAUUCUGAUACCACCUUGCUGGGUAACUCUGGGGACUCUCUCUAAGACCCUGCUCUAUGCAGGGGAAGAGGAAGAAGAUGGUCUUAUCUUUCUGCCUCCAUUGUCUGUUCAUUGGGAGAUCUCUGCAAGGGUGUACCAUUCACUCAGCAAACACGAGUCAAUGACUCAGGUUGGUACAUGACCAGUGCCUGGGAAGCACCUUUCUUGAAGGCCUGGACUUAACCCAGAGAGCCCCACUUGAGGGGGCUGGGUGACCUCCCCUCCAGGACAGCCUGAAGCAAGAGGACACCUCCUUCUUCACACUUCCAGAGGAAUUUGUAUACUCUCCAGGGCCCUAAGAGAAUCCUGGUAAUUUGAAGCAAACGAAGAUCCUGAAUUCUGAUUGACCAGCUGGUACCACCCAGACCAGUAACGUGGCUCAACUAGUUCUGCGAUCCCACCCAGGAACUGAAGACAGCAAGAAAAACCUAUUUCAACUUUAUACAAUUUCAUCUGCAACCCAACCAAUCAGCAUUCCCCACUCCCUAACCCCCCGCCUGCCAAAUUAUCCUUAAAAAAACCCUAGUCUCCAAAUUUUCAGGGAGACUGAUUUGAAUCAUACAACUCCGAUCUCCCAUUUAGCC